rnacentral:tRNA from 2 species
GGUGGUAUGUCGGAAUGGUAAACGAUACAUUGCGGUAGAUAGUACUGAAUAGGACGCUGAGGAAGCUAACAACAGCUCAGUCGCUAAACCUAUCAUUGCAGGUUCAAGUCCUGCUACCACCA